rnacentral:rRNA from 1 species
UACGUAGGGUCCGAGCGUUAAUCGGAAUUACUGGGCGUAAAGCGUGCGCAGGCGGUUUUGUAAGCCAGAUGUGAAAGCCCCGGGCUCAACCUGGGAGCUGCAUUUGGGACUGCAAGGCUGGAGUACGGCAGAGGGAGGUGGAAUUCCACGUGUAGCAGUGAAAUGCGUAGAGAUGUGGAGGAACACCGAUGGCGAAGGCAGCCUCCUGGGCUAGUACUGACGCUCAUGCACGAAAGCGUGGGGAGCAAACAGG